AUGUCGCCACACCCGCAAGCAAUGUAUGAUUGCGGUCAUCUCCUUCUCUUGCACCGUGUAGCGGCGUUCCGUGUCAUUUAGCUUUCGACUCUCGAACGCUAUUGGGUGGCCUUCUUGCAUAAGGACUCCACCUAUGGCGAAAUCCGAGGCAUCCGUUUGAACUUCAAAGGGCUUGGUGUGGUCCGGAAGAGCGAGGACUGGUUCCUCCGAAAUUGCCUUCUUCAACUCCUCGAAGGCGCGUUGGCACUCUUCGGACCAAUGCCAUGUUCUGUUUUUCUUGAGCAUAUCCGUCAAGGGUGCCGCCUUAGCUGAAUAGCCCUUGAUGAAGCGGCGGUAGUAAUUCACCAGUCCAAGGAAUGAGCGAAGUUCGGGUACUUUCGAGGGAGGCUCCCAAUCGAGGAUGGCCUUUACUUUGUCAUUCUCCAUCAUGAUCUUCCCGCCCGCAAUCUUGUGGCCAAGGAACUCCACCUCUUGUUGGGCAAACGAGCACUUCUCUAGUUUGAGGAAGAGCUCAUUGUCUCGAAGUACUUGGAGGACUUGUUGCAAGUGUUGGGCAUGCUCCUCGAGCGUGGUGCUAUACACCACUAUGUCAUCCAAGUACACGACCACGAAGCGGUCGAGGAAUGGUUGGAGCACCUUGUUCAUGAGUGUGCAAAAUGUGGCGGGUGCAUUAGUAAGGCCAAAAGGCAUCACAAGGAAUUCGAAAGACCCGUACCUUGUUGUGCACGCUGUCUUUUGUUCAUCUCCCUUGGCGAUGCGCACUUGGUAGUACCCGGAGCGCAAGUCAAGUUUGGUGAAGUACCGCGCUUUACCAAGCUGGUCGAACAAGUCCGCAAUCAAGGGAAUCGGAUACUUGUUCUUGAUGGUGAUCUUGUUGAGCGCUCUAUAAUCGAUGCACAUCCGCAGCGAUCCAUCCUUUUUCUUUUGGAAGAGGACCGGUGCACCGAAUGGGGCCUUUGAGGGGCGAAUAUAGCCUGCGUCCAGCAAGUCUUUGAGUUGUCUCCGCAACUCCUCUAAUUCAGGGUGGCGCCAUGCGGUAGGGCGCCAAGGCUGGUGGCUUCGCGCCUUGUUCCAGCUCGAUCGCAUGAUCUACCUCUCGCAGAGGUGGGAGCUUCUUCGGAAGUUCUGGAGGCAUCACGUCCUUGUACUUACUGAGGACGGCUUGAAUUUGCGGAGGACUUGGCUUGGCGAAGUUCCGCUAUUCCUUCCUCAUUUAGUUCCCGAAUGGAGACUAAGAAGCUUGGGUCCUUCUUGAAAGCCUUCUUGAAUUGCAUGGCGGAGAGUGUCUUCUCCUCGGACUUUGCCUCGUUCCGUGGGAACCAUGCAUGCCUUACUCCCGUCGAGGAUACUUAGGGAGUUUUGUAGCGGGCAGCGGGAAGGCAUGGACUUGGUCGAAGAAUUCCAUGCCGAGGACCAUCUUGAAGUCAUCCAUGGGCACAAUGGAGAAUCAAGCUUUCCGCUCCACGUACCAAGUGUGAUGUGCACGCCUUGUGCAAUUCCCGCAAUUGGCUUGGCGGGUGAGUUUACUGCCUUCAUUGUGCCUCCUUCCUUGGUGGCCUUGAGGCCUAAACGCUUGGCCUCGUCUACGGACACAAAAUUGUGUGUUGCUCCCGUGUCUAGCAGUGCGCGAACGGACUGCCGUUUACCUUUGCGCUUACAUACAUGAGCCCUUUCUUGACUAGUGCGGGCUGUUGGCGAUUGAGUGCGCCGAGGCGUUGGAGAGAACCCAUGCUGAGUUGGGGUUCCUCCGUGGACAUUGUGGGGUUUGCUCUUGAGUUGGGCAGCAAGAGCGUUAAGCGACCUCUUCUCCGGACAGUCGCGCACCCAAUGAGGACCAUUGCAUAUGAAGCAUGGGCUUCGCGGCUUGCGCCUCCUUCUUGCCCUCCGAUUUUCCUUGCCAACUCUUGUUGCUAGGUGGCUUUUUCUGCCCCAAUCUUUGCGGUUGUUGCCCUUGUCCUUGCGACUCUCUCCCCCACCCUUGCCUUGGUUGGCCUUUUUGUCCUUGGAUUGGGUAGAGUAUUCGGUGAGCGACUCCGCAACGGCAAUGGCGUCGUCAAGUGUUUGAACACCACGCCUAUCAAGCUCGGUCUUGGCCCAAUCCUUGAGGCCAUCUUGGAAGUAGAAGAGUGAAUCCUUGUCGGACAUGUCGCUUAUCUCCAACAUGAGGGUAGUGAACUCAUUGGUGUAGUCCCGAAUGCUACCCGAUUGCUUGAGGCGACGUAAGCGCACUCGCGCUUCUUUCUCCGCAUUGCUUGGGGCGAACUGCUUUCGGAGUUCUUGCUUGAAGUCGGCCCAAGUGUCGAUGCUGCAAAUGCCCUUGCCCAUCUCGCCAUGCUUGCGACGCCACCAUAGUUGUGCAGCGCCUCUAAGAUAAGUGGGUGCAGUGCCCACUUCGAUGCCUCAUCUCGGACACCCAUGGCAUCAAAGUAUUGAUCCAGCCCAAAGAGGAAAUUGUCCACGAUGGUGGCAUUGCGUGUGCCAUCGUAGGUGUCAGGCUUUGGCACGUCAAUGCGGCGCGCAUCACUCGAGUUUGCGGAAGCUGGACUUGUGGAGAGUGUGCGCUUGUGCCAUGCCCAAUCCGAGCGGACUUCAUCCACUUCCGCACGGACAGCACGUAGUUCGUCCUGAACAAAACUACGAAGUUUGAGCAACUCAUCAUGGAAAGAACGAAACUCACCUCGGAGAAUGUUCGCUUGCUCAUGGAUGAGAGCUUUUGUGGCCACCGUGAACUCGGCGUAUUCUCCCUCGAGACCGUCCACUCUUUCCUCU
rnacentral:lncRNA from 1 species